rnacentral:lncRNA from 1 species
UAGUAUUACAUCCAUCAAGUAUAUGAUAGAUAUAUAUUAUUACCUGAAUGAUGGAUUUUUUUUUAAUGGCUAGAUUAAGUAUAUCAAACAAUUCUACUAUUAUUAGGAACAAUUGAGGAUCAACUCAACUAUUAUUAGGAAAACAAAGUUCCUUAACUAGUAGUAGCUUUAUUUGCCACAACAGAUAGAAAAAUAGAAUGGAAGAGCUUUCAGAAGGGUUUCAAGAGAGGCAUCUUUUACAUUUGCAAGGUAUGUUGAUGCUAUGAUUAACUUCUUAUUUAAACUUUAUAGCAGCUAUUACAUGAAUGAUUGUGGAUGUAGAUACACUUAUUAUUUAAACUGUAAUGAUUCCUGCAUUCAACUCUAUUUCACCUUUGACUAAUCACGUGUUCGAACACCUGAAAUCAAGAAUAAAUCCAUUAUAUUUUUAUUUUGUAGUUUAGGAAUUUUCAUAUGGAUAGCAAUUUGGCAGCAAAUAUUAAGUUAAUUACAUAACUACUUAAUCAGAUAAUAAGAACAUAAGUUAAUAAAUAUGCAAUUAAGCAUCUAAAAAUAUCAAUCAAUCUCACCGGCGAGAAAGGCCUUUUUGAUUACGCUUAGCUCUCUGGUAACAUCCACUAUAUUCAUUCUUUCUUUUGGUGAUUCCAUUGAACAAGCAAGACCAAUCCCAAAAAGUGUAGCUAAAAACUU